rnacentral:rRNA from 1 species
GAUUCGCAUGAACCUAUAUUUAAAGGUGCGUUUGCACCACUUUGGGAGAGCCUUGCGCAGCGUUAGCUAGUUGGUAGGGUAACCGCCUACCAAGGCAACGAUGCUUAGCUGGACUGAGAGGUUGAACAGCCACACUGGGACUGAGACACGGCCCAGACUCCUAUGGGAGGCAGCAGUAGUGAAUUUUCGGCAAUGGGCGAAAGCCUGACCGAGCAAUGCCGCGUGAACGAUGAAGGCCUUCGGGUCGUAAAGUUCUGUUGUAAAGGAAGAAUGAUCAGAGGAGGAAAUGCCUUUGAUUUGACGGUACUUUACCAGAAAGCUCCGGCUAACUACGUGCCAGCAGCCGCGGUAAUACGUAGGGAGCGAGCGUUAUCCGGAAUUAUUGGGCGUAAAGCGUGCGUAGGCGGCGUGUUAAGUCGAAUGUGAAAGCCCACAGCUUAACUGUGGAGGGUCAUUCGAAACUGGCAUGCUAGAGUACGGCAGAGGUUAGUGGAAUUCAAUGUGUAGCGGUAAAAUGCGUAGAUAUAUUGAGGAACACCAGUGGCGAAGGCGGCUAACUGGACCGGAACUGACGCUGAGGCACGAAAGCGUGGGUAGCAAACAGGAUUAGAUACCCUGGUAGUCAAGGGCG